UGAAAUCUUGUUGGACAGGAUAAUCUAUUUGUUCUUUAAUCAUAUUUUUAAUAAAUUUUGGUUUAUUAAACCAAGACAUAGCUCAAUAAAGGAAGUGUUAACUUCCAUAACCUGAGUAGAUCUUUCAUGGCUCUGAUACCAAGUAUUGAGCAGGACCUUUUUAGGGCUAUAGGCCUUUUACAAAGCUGGGAUUUAUUCAGUUUAAUUUAUUUUAUGCAAACCACGAAUUAAUUGUUAUAAACCCGACCGGGAACAUCCCUAGGCGAUACAACCUGCC
rnacentral:lncRNA from 1 species